CAUAAAGGAUGCAGUGAUGGAGGAACGUAAAGGGUGCAGGGAUGUAGGGACGUAAAGGAUGCAGUGAUGUAAGGGAUGCAGAAAUGUAAAGGAUGUAGGGAUAUAAAGAAUUCAGGGAUGUAAAGGAUACGGAGAUGUAAGGAAGGCAGUGAUGUGAGGGAUGCAGUGCUAUAACGAUACAGAGGUACAAGGGAUAUGGGGAUACAAUGACUUAGUGGUAGUCCCUGCGAGGUUCAUAAAAAGAUUGAAAAAAUAAAUAUCUGCGGAGGGAGGCCUUGGUCCAUAUAGAGGAGUAGGAUAAUAAAUAGUUAGAAACCGUGGAUCUUGGCCCAUAAAGAAGAAUAAAAUAAUCAAUAACUGAAAAGGUUGAGCUUUGGCCUAUAUAGAGCGAUAAAAUAAUAAAUAACUGUGAAAAGUGAAAUAAAGGGGAUGGCUGGCCGAGACCCAGAAAAGGGAUAAAGUCAUAAAUGCUAUCCGAUCUCAGGAUACCGACCUGAUAUCAUUAUGGAGUGUCAGGGACCACGAAACACCGGUCACUCUCUCUACAUACCGACACUAUAUCACCAAGGGGUGUUGGGGACCCCAAAAUACCAGUGACACUUUGCAUACCGAUAUUAUGGUGUCUGGGGUAUCAGGGACCCCGAUGCAUCUGCCGCGCUCUCUGCAUACCGAUCUGACUUCAUCUGGGGUUUCUGGGAACCCCUAAAUUAAGAUUCUUCGAAAAUAAAGGCAUGUCCAGUCUUCUACAUCUGUAGUCACUAAUUUCAGUGAGAAGCUGUGCAAUUUCGAAUACGUUUUGAAGAUAAAUAAUCAAAACAAGAGAAUAUCUAUUACUUACAUUAUAAUGGCAGGUGUUACAAAAUUUAUGAAAAAUGUUUAUCACGAUCCUUUUCAAUGGUCAGUAGUUAAAAGCAUUGGAUUAUUCAUAUUAGGGGUAAAGAUUGCUCUUGAAUGUAAAGGAAUGACUCUGAUGCCAACCACCUCUUAAAAAUUCCAAAUAUAGAAAUAAAAAUGUAAAGACAAUGUAUUUCAGUUCAUAAUACAUACAUGCAUAUUUUAUUAUCUUAACAUUAAUGAAACUACAUUCUUUUUGUAUUUGUACAUAAUUUCUCUAAGUUCACAAUUCAUUUUUUAAUUGUACAUACAUAAAAUUACAUACACAAAGAAAAUGUAUAAUGUAAGUUAUCAAUAAACAGUGAAAUAAUAUGUAAAAGAAUAGUAAA